rnacentral:lncRNA from 1 species
AUGGAGGACACAGGAAAUGUCCUAUGCAGAAGCACACUGAGAUAUGUUCCAGCUGGGCUGGCAGUGGCUGCUGCUCUUCCCCAGGAAGAAGAACUUCAGGUUGCAGCAGGAAGUGAACAGAGCCGGCAGAAAGCAUGGGGACAAUCAGGAGUAUGUGUAUCAGAGGACACCACACGUUACAGUGACAUCCCAUGUCACAUUCCAGCACCGUGCUGCAUAACAGAUAGGAAACGUUCCUGUGUGUGUCCUGUUGCUUCGCAUGUCCCUGUGCCAGUGAGAGAGUGGGGUUAUCCAAAACCAGGCAACCUCAGUGAUGUUGUGGAAGGAGGAGUGAAGGUAUGUGCUUAGACAGACUUUGUAAGAUGGAGUACCAAACCCACCUCUUACUGCAGUGAAGUACCGUCUGGAAGAACUUCAUAAAACUACAUUUGGGAGUAACUGUGCACCCAGUCCUGUUUUUCAUAUGUUUUGUCUGGCUUUGGAGAAUUAAAAUAACAUUGCCCUUAUCCAGUGCUAUAAUAUUGCAUAGGUUUCCCUAGAGAUAACCAUAGCCAUUACUCUACAGUUUUUU